GCUAAUUUAUUUGGAACUCAUUCUUUAUGAGAGUUCUCUAGAAAAAGGCAUUCUUCUCAGAAAAGAAGUUCUCUCGGAGGAAAAACUCUCUUAGGAGAAGAAAUUCUCUCGAAUGAGUCAAUGUGGAAGUUCUCCCGAGCAAAGUAACAAGAAGUUCUCUUGGUGAGGUAUCCAGCAUGUCAUAUUACACUCAGUUGAGCCAUUUUUCUCCUAAACAACUUUCUCCUAUGUUGUCCUAGACAACGUAGUCUGCUUGAAAUAUGCUCUCCUUCCUUCGAAAAACCAUUUCUCUGCCUAAGAAAGAGGGUGGCGAUUCUCACUAAGCCCUUUUCCAAGUUAAACCCCUAGACAACAUCGUGUAAUCACCAAGACAACACCAUGUCCCCAUACACGCAUGUCAUGUGUCCCAAUCACUGUCCCAAGGGUAUAAAUACCCCCGACCCUUCGUCUUUGGGAUCAUUUUUCUGACCUUUGGACUUCUAGCACUAGUAGAACUAUAGUUCUCUCAAACAACUCAAAAUCAUAUAUCUACACGUACAUUUUCUUUACAUCUAGACAACACCAUGAUCAUUUUUAACUUAAGGAUUGGAGGGCCUAUAUGAAAAAAAAUCUCUGCGUGUCUUUUGACCAACUCCCGACUUACAGAAGCUUUCCUCGGGAACACAUCAACUCUCUUAUACCACUUUAUCCCAAACAAACAUUAACUAUCUCAGACAACAAAUCAAACUUCUUUCGAACAACUUUAGCUCUUCUCUCAAUCUUCUCUCGAGCAAUCUUGUUUUGUGUUUGACUUUGUCAUGAUCGAUUCUCUCUAAUAAUACAAAUUUUAAUUAUUAUAUUUCAAGUAACAAUAAUAUCAAAAGUCAAUUCAACAUGAGAUAUAAUUAAAUAUUUUUAAGAUUAGUUUGAAUUAAAUUAAAUUAUAAAAUUUUAUUUUUAAAAAAUAUGUUAAAAAACAAAAGAAAGCUGUUAGAUAAAUAAAAAAAUUACCUAUAAUUAGUAAUGUUGGACCAUUUUUUGUUCCUUAAAUUAUAAUUCUCCUUCUUUCCAUACAAGAAAGCCUUCCUUCUUCCUUCCGCCAAGCCCCAAUCAAACUGCCCCUGCGUACAGAGAAGAGUGGAGCUGCGAGCCGCGAACGAUGAACGUAGCUCAUAUUCCUUUUCAAUGACGCCGAUGGCUUCGGCGUCUCGAUCUUACGCGCCCUUCAGCCAAGCCCUAUUUCAUCUCUUCGAAGACUGUUAAAUUUAAUCUCUACGCGAGAGGAAUCGUUUGAGCUGCCUCUGGAGCGGUACGAUAUCAGAGAUCGCAAAGCGUCCGGCGAUAUCGUUCACUUCGUCGACCACGAUGGCCAUUGUCAGGUGUCUUCUUUUGUAAUUCGAUUGCCAAACUCAAUUUUUGGGUGGACUCUGUCGCCUCUGAUUGUAAUCUCCGUGUCAAGUGAUUUCGACGAUUACUCUUUCAGUGUUGCUUGAGUUUUUAGCAGAGAUGCAUGUAUUAAAUGAUUUGACUCUGUGGUGCUUGUUUGAAUAAUGUAAUUGUGACAGUCCGACUCUCUUGUAGCCAGUAAAUGGGGAAGAGUUUUGUAUUGCUACACUACACAGAUCACAUGUUCUUUUUUGGAUAUGUGGAGGAAAAUGGAAAGCUGGGAAAUAGUAAAUGAAGAUAUUUUUUAUUUUAUUUUUUUCUUGUCUGUUGUUUUGGUUGUUAACACAAGGUGGGAAUGGGAGAAGGGCUUCUAAUUGUUGUUGGUUGCAAAGGAAGAAAUAUGAAUAGCUCAUAGGAAUUUUUUAAAACAAAGCUGGACACGACUGAAUAUAAGUUCAUUGGAUGCAUGUCGCGUGGCAAAGAAGGUGUAGUAUUAUAGUGCAGGAAUGGCAUAUUUGCUUGGAAUUGUUGAAACCAUAA